rnacentral:rRNA from 1 species
CGAAUGGGGCAACCCACUAUAUUGAAGAUAUAGUAUCCUGCAAAGGAAGUAAACCCGGGGAACUGAAACAUCUAAGUACCCGGAGGAGAAGAAAACAAAAGUGAUUCCGUAAGUAGUGGCGAGCGAACGCGGAGUAGCCCAAACCAUAGUUGUUACGGCAAUUGUGGGGUAAUAGGACCACGAUAUUUGAUGCUUAAUGAAUUAGAAUCUACUGGAAAGUAGAACCAUAGAGGGUGAUAGUCCCGUACAGGUAAGUUAAGUUAUUAAUAGUGGUAUCCUGAGUAGUGCGGGGCACGUGAAACCUUGCAUG